UUCUCUCUUCUAACAAAAAUGAUGUGUCCUUUUGACUCGUUAUCUAACCUUUAUGGUCUAACUGUUUUUGUCUCUCUUUACAGCCUGAGCAGUGCAACCUGGAUGAGCACCCUGAAUGCCUUAGGUUCCAAACUUCAGUAGUUAGAGAAGGCCUCUGAUGGUGGACAUACGGGGGACAAAUGUCAAAGCUAGCACGGCUGGAGUACUAGGGUAACUCAUGAAGAGUAGGUGGAUAUGUACCAUGAGUUCGGACUCGAGAGUCAGAAUUUGGCUACACUGCAGGUGCUAUGUCAACCGAGCACCAUUAGCUUUGUGAAGACAAGUAAAGAAUGCUACAGCAGAAGAGAAAUCACAGUACCUUGACAAAGCAGUCAUGAAAAUGCAGCCUGACCAAGGAUGCCGCCAUCC